UACGUAGGGUGCAAGCGUUGUCCGGAUUUAUUGGGCGUAAAGAGCGUGUAGGCGGCUUUACAGGUCCGUUGUGAAAACUCGAGGCUCAACCUCGAGACGCCGGUGGAAACCGUAAAGCUAGAGUCCGGAAGAGGAGAGUGGAAUUCCUGGUGUAGCGGUGAAAUGCGCAGAUAUCAGGAGGAACACCAAUGGCGAAGGCAGCUCGCUGGGACGGUACUGACGCUGAGGCGCGAAAGCGUGGGGAGCAAACAGG
rnacentral:rRNA from 1 species